GGGAGGAGCUGGGAAGUAGGGGGAGGAGAGAGAAGAGAGAGUCUAUGAUUGUGUUCUAGUUUAGGCUACUGGCUGCUAAGACAGCACAACUUGCCCACACUGGGGACUAGGAAAGAGGAUUCUGUCUAGGGGGAGAGGGUGAGCUCAGCUGGAGUUGAAGGCUCCUUGAAUUUGAGGAGCUUGUGGGGCAUCUGAGCAGAAAACGAUGUGCACGAUUAUCCUAAGAUGCAGGGGUGGCUGGCACAAACCAGAGUUUGCUGACUCCUUCCUUUUCUAGAGAGAGAAGAGCGGAGUGCAGAACACAAGGCCAACAAGGACCACUUGAGAGGAUCAGCAACGGAGAGUCAUCUGCGUCUCAUGGAGGCGUCUCCUCCUCAACACAACUUUCUAAACCUGUCCAGCCGGUCAAGAAUCACUGCUGCUCUACCCAGUGACACACACUCCCUCUGAAAAAGCCUGGAAUUGCACAUGAUUAAAAGAAAAAAAAAAAGCAACUAAAGAAAAAGGCUCU
rnacentral:lncRNA from 1 species